rnacentral:misc_RNA from 1 species
GAUGAAGAACGUAGCGAAAUGCGAUAAGUAAUGUGAAUUGCAGAAUUCAGUGAAUCAUCGAAUCUUUGAACGCACAUUGCGCCCGCCAGUAUUCUGGCGGGCAUGCCUGUUCGAGCGUCAUUUCAACCAUCAAGCCCCAGGCUUGUGUUGGGGACCUGCGGCUGCCGCAGGCCAUGAAAACCAGUGGCGGGCUCGCUGUCACACCGGGCGUAGUAGAUUUUAUCUCGCUCAGGGCGUGCUGCGGGUUCCGGCCGUUAAAAAGCCUUUUUUACCCAAGGUUGACCUCGGAUCAGGUAGGAAGACCCGCUGAACUUAAGCAUAUCAAUAAGCGGAGGA